CCUACGGGAGGCAGCAGUGAGGAAUAUUGGUCAAUGGCCGAGAGGCUGAACCAGCCAAGUCGCGUGAGGGAAGAAUGUCCUAUGGAUUGUAAACCUCUUUUGUCAGGGAGCAAAGUCACCCACGUGUGGGUGUUGGAGAGUACCUGAAGAAAAAGCAUCGGCUAACUCCGUGCCAGCAGCCGCGGUAAUACGGAGGAUGCGAGCGUUCUCCGGAUUGAUUGGGUUUAAAGGGUGCGUAGGCGGGUUAUCAAGUCAGCGGUAAAAUUGCGGUGCUCAACGCCGUCGAGCCGUUGAAACUGGCGUUCUUGAGUGGGCGAGAAGUAUGCGGAAUGCGUGGUGUAGCGGUGAAAUGCAUAGAUAUCACGCAGAACUCCGAUUGCGAAGGCAGCAUACCGGCGCCCUACUGACGCUGAGGCACGAAAGCGUGGGUAUCGAACAGGAUUAGAUACCCUUGUAGUC
rnacentral:rRNA from 1 species